rnacentral:lncRNA from 1 species
CUUUCUGUAAGUCUGGGAAGCACACUUUAUAUGGGCAUAUAGCAUGCAGUUUCUCAGAUAGUCCACAAACAUGUGAAAGGAGCACUGGCUUACUACUUACAGGUAGUAGUAAGAAGACGUGAAAUGUGACCCGGAAUCCGCAAUUAAAUCGGUAUAUUCUUACCUCUUCAGACUUUCCAACGCAGUCUUGCAGGGAUACAGGACCUGGGUGAGGGUGUGGAGUGCUUCUCUGCACCUGGUAGAUCUACAUAACUGUUCCUAGCAACCUCUUGAGGAAAUAAUACAUUCUAUAGAAUGUUGGGUACCUAAGCUCUCUGUUUUGGAUUUGAAAGGCUGCGUUUUAGUGAUUUUUAAGCCAAACAAGAUUUAUCCCAUAACAGCCCCCCAAAAACACGCACAGAAAAGAAGAAUGAGGGGGGCGGGUAGGUAGAGAAGCAGUUAUUCACUUUAUAAAACAAUUCUCUAUAGGAUUCUUUUGUCAGUUUCCUAGACUAUGUAAAAUGUGAUUCAAAUUAAAAUAUUUAAAUCACAUACCCACAUCUUGACAUAGGCAGCUAUUUGUAAAAUGAGGCAAACCCACACUGGGAAAUACCAAAUU